rnacentral:rRNA from 1 species
AGAGUUUGAUCCUGGCCUACAGAACGAACGCUGGCGGCAUGCCUAACACAUGCAAGUCGAACGAGACCUUCGGGUCUAGUGGCGCACGGGUGCGUAACGCGUGGGAAUCUGCCCUUGGGUUCGGAAUAACAGUUAGAAAUGACUACUAAUACCGGAUAAUGUCUUCGGACCAAAGAUUUAUCGCCCAGGGAUGAGCCCGCGUAGGAUUAGCUAGUUGGUGAGGUAAAAGGCUCACCAAGGCGACGAUCCUUAGCUGGUCUGAGAGGAUGAUCAGCCACACUGGGACUGAGACACGGCCCAGACUCCUACGGGAGGCAGCAGUGGGGAAUAUUGGACAAUGGGCGAAAGCCUGAUCCAGCAAUGCCGCGUGAGUGAUGAAGGCCUUAGGGUUGUAAAGCUCUUUUACCCGGGAUGAUAAUGACAGUACCGGGAGAAUAAGCCCCGGCUAACUCCGUG